AACCACUGUGUGGUGUCAAAAGAUGCAUUUCCUUUUCUGUCUGAUCUGGUGAGCCUCUGUUCUGAGCUCAGCCUGCCAUGGGCACUGCGUUCCUUUCCUGGGUUGCCCUCUGUCUUCUGGGAAUAGCCUCUGUCUUCAUAGAUCACACCAAAGCUGGAGUCUCCCAGUCCCCAAGUAACAAGGUCACAAUAAAGGGACAGAAUGUAACUUUCAGGUGUGAUCCAGUUUCUGGACACACUGUUCUUUAUUGGUACCAAAAGAACCCAGAACAAAGCCCGAAGUUCCUCAUGUACUUUCGGGAUGAACUUCCAUCAGACACCUCAGGGAUGCCUCCUGAAAGGUUCUCUGCUGAGAGGACUGAGGGCACCUUCUCCCAUCUGAAGAUCCAGAGUGCACAGCCAGGGGAUUCUGCUGUAUAUCUCUGUGCAAGCAGCCACAGUGAGCCAAGGCCACCUCCUUCCUGUUCGCAAACUUCCUUCUCUCCUGUCAGCUCCUAGAAACCAUAAACAACA